AAUUUCUGUCUGACAGGGGCCGCCUGGCUUGGUGACAACGAAAGAAACUGCUUAAUGCUCCUCCCCGGCAGGCCCUUUAAAAUGCCCCGAUGUUCCAACCAAGUGGCCACACAGCCCUGCUCCAACGCCACCUGAACAGCACCGAGGAAAGAUGCGGGGCUGGCGUUUGUUGUUCAGAGGCUGUCAUGAGCUGGACCACAGGCUGACUCCUACAUCCCGGGGAUCUGACUAUGCUAAACACAGAAAGAAACAAAUACGCAGAUUCCAUCUAGUCUUCAAACUGCAGAGACUCACCCCCAAACCUCCAGCCUGACUGAGGGGAGAGUCCAUCCCAGGAGUGUUGCCUCAGGAUCUUCAGGCGUCAAAAGAAAACUUUACUGGAAUUACAGAGGCCUACACGUUGUGCAGCCCAACCGCCAGGACGCCAGCAGCCCCGCUCUCGGAUGUUAGCCUGGUAUCGUUCCUCUUUCAUGACCCACAUUCACAAAACUGCCAGCUCUGCUACACUUCAGGGCGAACUCCAACAAAAAGGAAGGAAAGAAAGAAAAAACCCCACUGCACUCACAUUCCGGCUUGUCCACAGAGCCUCCUUUUAAUUUUCUAGUUCCUUUGUCAAGACCGUUCAAAACAGCAAAUGGACUUAACACCCUGGGGUCGGGAAGAUCACCCAGCUAAGUCUGCCCGUGUCUGCCCGAGAGGAGGCGCGAGGGCCAGGGCUUCGCAAACCUAUCCCUGUGCUAAUCCUCGCUUCCCUCGCAACUCACUCUGGAUAGCGCUCAACUAUUCUUGAAUUUCUUACUGGAAACGAUAUCAUGAGAGGAAGACUGUAUUGGCAGUUUGUUGAGAAUGGCUUGAAAGAAAGAGGAAAAUUAAAAAUAAAAAGCAAAGAAAAACACACACAA